ensembl:lncRNA
CGCCUGGGCCACGCUGGCUUCACUAGCUCUCCCUUUACUAGCUUUCUCUGGCAGGCCGUAACCCGGAAGUUGCCUGAAACACUUCUGCUCACAUCGGCUGACCUGAGUUCAGCCUUUGGCCACGGAGCUGCAGGGAAAGCCAGAAACAGAGUCUCUGGAUGGCUGGCCACGUUCCCAAGUAAAACUUGGGGACAGAAUCAAUUAGCAGUCCAUGCACAGUCCCCUCGGCUGCCCUGCGUCCACGCGGUGUGUCAGCUCACUCGUCUCCUCUAUUAAAUUUUGCUCUCACGUGGUAUCUCUAGUCCGCCUUCUAGGGGUUGUGGCAAAUAUGUACUGCUUCUCGAAAGAUUUAGUAAGUGUAACCCUUACUCCUAAAAUUAUAACUUCCAUGGCCCAGAUCUCGACUACCGGUGAGCACAAAUAUUCACUCAUUCACUCAUUCAUUCCUCAGCUGCUUACUGACCACCUGAACUAGGGGAGGACAGAGCCCACAGAGAGCUGAAGGAGGAGGACACCAGGCGGCGGGAGCAGGACGCGAGAGUGCCUGGAGGGGUUCAGGACUGGUGUGGCUGCUGAGGAGCGAGUGAUGGGCUGGAGAUGACUUUGGAAAGGUGCUGGGAGACCAGAGCAUGGAGGGCCUCGAAGGCCAUUGUCAACUCAAAACCCUUCACUCUGGUUUUCCUGGGAAGCCUUUGGAGGGUUUGAGCAGAGCAGUGACUUGAUUGAUUUAUCUUCUCAGAGGACCAUCUGGUUGCCAUGUCGAGGACUGACUGCAGGUUGCAAGGAUGCAAAUACAGAGACCAGCCAGGAGGCUACUGCACUGAUCUGGGCAGGAGGUAUGGUAGCCUGGACCAGGGCCGUAGCAGAGGAAGGUCAGAAUCUGGCUAUGUUGAAGAGAGAGCUUAUAGGGAUUGCUGAUUGUUUAGAUAUCGGGUUUGAGAGAAAGAGAUGAGUCAAGGAUGACUCCUAGAGUUUUAGUCUGAGCACCGAACUACAAGGAUAGAAGUACUAUCGGUUGAAGUGGGGAACAUUGUGGGAGGAGCAUACUGGGGGAGAAAGACCAGAGAUUGCGGUUUGGGCACACUAUAUAUGAGAUGUUUAUUAAAUAUCCAAAUGGAGGCAUUAAGAAGGCCAUUGAAUAUGUGAGUCUGGAGUUCAGGGGAGAGGUUCAGGCUGGAGAAGUAAAUCCAGAUAAAUUGGGGAAGGGUUAGCAUCUUGGUGGCAUUCUGAGUCUGGAGCUGGACAUGCCACAAGCUAGACAUGUGGUGCAAUUGUACUUCGUGGUCCCCUGCAACGGGGUGGGACCAGGUCUGCUUCUGACCUUUGACCGCUGAGUAGAAACAGUGUGGACCAUUCCCAGGCCCACGUUCUGUGCUACCGAGCCCGGCAACCCCUCAGCUGCUCUGUCACCCGGCACCCAAGACUGGGGACAAGACAGAGCGCAAGCCCCGAGGUCCGUGGUGGACUCGGGGCCUGAGUGAGAGAGAAACCUCGUUGUUUUAAGUCACUUUGUUUUUGGAGUUAUUACUCCAACUCAUCCAGCCUGUCCUGAUGGACAGAGACAUCCACAUGGGUUUAGAUGCUCUGGAGAAUGGUCAGAUGAUGGCGUCUGCAAUCAGGAGUAGGGAGUUAGGUAUUUUAGAGAUUUAUUUUACAGUUUGGUCUGGGAAAUACUUCCAUUUUCCAAACUGAAAUGAAGAGAAGCUAACUGGAAGUUGAGAAAAUUGUUCUUUAAAUAACGUAUAUCGGGCCGGCCCCAUGGCCCAGUGGGUAAGUUCACGCGCUCCACUUUGGCGGCCUGGAGUUUCACUGGUUCAGAUCCUGGGUGCAGACAUGGCACCACUCAUCAGGCCACGCUGAGGUGGCAUCCCACACAGCACAACCAGAGGGACCUACAACCAGAAUCUACAACUACAUACUGGGGAAGGCUUCAGGGAGAAGAAGAAGAAGAAGAAGAAAAAAAAAGACUGGCAAUAGAUGUUAGUUCAGGUGCCAAUCUUUAAAAUAAAUAAAUAAAUAACAUCUAUUUCACUAGCUGCAUGGGAAUGGCUUGUUCAUAAAAUCCUCGAAUGCUCAGUGCCUUCUGAAUGCCUUUCUCAUCAGCAGCCCCCCAGCUUUAGAAUGCUAUUGACCUCUCUAUCAGUGGCCUGCUUUGAAAAAAAUUCUAUAUCAAAAUCUAUCUAUAUAUCUGCAUCUGUAUCUACACAUACGCCUCUCUCUGUCUCUCUCUAACUGUAUCUGCAUCUAUAUAUCUGUAUUUGCAGCCAUACCCGUACCCACCCAUCUACAAACUGCGUCUGUGGGUGUUGGUUAUUUCCAUUUAUCCUUAGACAAGUCGUCCAUACUAAACUCUGGUGCUGCCUGAGGCCAUUGGGAUGCCUGGAAAGUCUAACCGUGGCUCAGCCCUAUGUAGAAAGUUCGCAGCAGGUCAGAAUUCACAGCCAGCCCCGGUUAAGCUUCUGAUUCGGCCUUGAACAUCCCAACAGCAAAGUCUUACGGCAUGUGGCAAACUCGAGUCGGGGAUUCGGGAGGAAACAUUGCACAGGUGGUCCCGCCCGAUUAGGACUUCUGGUGCCGCGGUUAUGAUCUGGACCUUGGGGCAAUUCCAGGUGAAGAGCUCUGCACCCCCAAGGGCCUGAGCUGGGCCUGUGCUCACAGUAGACGCGGCAGCCACGUUAACGGGGACUUAACCCAGGGUGCACGUGUGCUGGCCUGGGCUCCACUCGCACCUCCACAAGGGCCCCUCGAGGAGCCUGCCCACGUCACUGGCUCUCAAGUGGCCGAGCCUCCAGAGCUGCGUGCGUCCCAGCCCCUCAGUGCCACCUCCCUGGGCGCCCAGCUCCUUCCUCCUGCUCAUUUCUGCUUCUCCGAGGAGCCUUGUUUGGUUCUCCACGCAGAGGUAAGCUGUUACGAAAUUUAUUUAAGCUUAUGUACAUGCUAUUUCUAAAAAGAAACCAUAGCAUCCCUCCCACUUUCUACAGGAAACGUUUUUUGGGAAAGCUAACAUUGCCUCUGCCCCUUUCCACUGUGCGCAGCAGAUGCUCUGACGGUGACCGUGACCAGCUGGCCCUGCUGAGCCUCGCCUGGGGGCUGGGGGCUCUCGUGCGUUCUUUCUCAGUGAGUCUCACGGUAACCCUCAGAGAUGGUCCUCGUCCCAUUUGCCACGCGGGAAAACAGAAGUGCAGAGUGUGAACAGCCUGCUCAGCAUCUCACGAGGCGUAAGGACCGAGCUAGGAGGCAGCCUAGUUUAUCUGACUCCAAACUGUCCAUAGCAUGGCUGAUGGUGCUUGAAGCAGAAGUCGAGGGUGGCAGAGCAGAGGCUCUUCGCACCAUGUGUCCCAGCACAGUCCCUGGAAGACCGGGGCCACUGGGCACCUAACUGCAUCUGAAAGACUUAGCUGAAUCCUCACCUGUUAUGAUUCACAGUGAGCAACGCCAAACAACCUCACUGCAUGUGGGAAGUCGAAUUUGUAGGGUGUUUGUUAAAAGGCGACAGCUGGUCUCCAGCCCCUGCUCCCUGUCUUUCUCAUGAAAACAAAACCAAAAGGGGCAUCCAAACACCCUUUCAAUAUGGUGGGGGCCUAUGCUGGGCUUCUAGCCAUGGCUUCUCCAAGCAUCUUAUCACACCCUCCUGAACGCCUCUCUAGCCUCUCCCUCUGCCCCAGGGCAUUUGCACUUGCCAGGUGGGACAGCCUGCCUUAACCACGCAGCAGCUGCCAACGCAGAGCCAGGACCUAACCACAAAACCCUGCCACUCACCACCAAUUAGCUCUGUUUUCUGUAUAAACACUGCUACUUGAAGAAAAAUAUAGCCUCCCAAAGUGCAAAACUCUUUUCCUCUCCCCCCUUGCCCCCAACAGGUGAGAGAUGCUGGGUGUCCUUGCUCUGCCUGAAAAACGGUGGGACUUGCUACUUUCUUUCUCGCAAUUGCCUCUUCACCAAGGCCACCAGGAGCCCAGCUGCUGAGUCAGGGCCUAGGCUUGAUUCUCCAGAGGCAGAAGGCAGGGAAUGAAUGAGGACAAUGAUCCUAUUCUCUACGCUCUUUCUGGCUGACUUUUUUUGUGGUGGUGGCUGGAGUCUGUGACAACAGUCUGCAAACAGCACAUGUUGGCAGCGCCCAACUCUGAAGGCCCCUGCACAACACAAAGGCAUGUUUCACGUUGGCUGCCUCCUCCCAUCGUGAGUGCCCAGCCCUUGCGCUUUCUUUGUUGAAAAGGAAAAAAAGAUCAUACUUAAGCAAAAGUAAACCACAGCCUGAUCCUGUGCCAACAACAUUAACCAACUUCUCGUCAGCGCCUUUGAAGUCAGCGGGGGGCGACAUGCUUGUGGUGCAAGGAAAGAAUGAUACUUUAAGCGAUUCCUUUUCAUCCCUUUAACUUAAUGAAAGAUUAAUGGCCUUGUUAUUUUUGUUUCUGCUCCAUUUUUCCCCCCUUUUUUUCUUCCCCCCCCUUGUUGAAAUUGAAAAUCCUGCCCUACAAUGGUUUUCUGGAUCAUUGGGUUUUGUGAAUACAACUCCUACCCCUUCACCACCAUCUGCGAGCUGGACCACCUACUCAAGUCCAAAACAUCCAGGUGUCCGCGGAGGAGGAGCUCGUGGUGAACAGGCGGAUGGUGGCGGCACAGAACUGGAUCUUAUUCAAACAAACCUCCUUGGAAACAGGCUGGAAUACCUUGGCAGCGAAUUCUUUUCUUUCCCUGGAAGACUCGGUGUUGUGACAGCGGGCACCUGGUUGGUCUUGUUAGCUCAUGUUUACUUGUUGAGCGCGCACUGUGCCAUGCACACUUCUAGAUGGUGAGGGAUCAGUGGUGAGCAGGAGGGCGUCCCUCCAUUCAUGGAGAAUGAGUGGUAUUGUCUUUGUGGUGGCCCUCACGAUAAAAACACCAUGUAUAAAGCACACUUCUGCAGCAGAGUCCCAUAGAGGAUGCCGGAAAUGGUCUCAACUACUUGGCCGACUAAAUCAAGGACAGGUGAUUUCUGUGUGAAUACCCAAAAGAGCUAUUUAGAACACAGUUGAAAGUCCCAGGUUUAUCCAGUUGGAGAUAACUAUACGUUCAGUUUAGGCGUGACCAGUUUCUGCAAGUUUAGAGAUUGAUUACAAAACGAGCCCCGUAGACUAAUCUAGAAAUUAUAUUACCUAGCAUGGGGUAGCACCUCUUUACUCAAUGGUACUGCUAGUUCGGUAAAAUACAGUUAUAGCUCGUUAUUAAAGGCAGUAAGCCACCAUUUUUAUGGGUAAUUUCCAUUUUAGGUUAAAUCCAUAAGGCCUGUGAAGGCUCAGCGGCAACGCACGUCGUCUGCGAGGCCCACCCAGCUCUCCCAGGUGGGACGGGCGCCUGGGGCCGCUCUGCACUUCCGCGCCCCUGAUUGCACAGCUCACAUUUCAUUUGGACCUUCUACAGAUCGCUGUCUUCCCCAGAAUAUUUCCAAACCUCCUCGAGAGCUGAAUCAUCCCGCAGUAGAAGCUUGGGAAGUGCUUACUUGAUGUAAGAUGUGUGAAUGGCAGGAAGAAAACCCAUGGCACAGUUUAGGACGGUCCCAUCAGCAGAGGCUAUGUGCAGAAGGGAACAGAAGUACCAGUGUCUCUCCAUGGGUAGCAAUACUGCUCACAUCAUUCUAACUUAAUGUAUAUAAUUUAACGUUUUCUGAAACAUCCUACUUUUACUCAAAUUCUAGCUACAUCAAUAAUUCUAACAUUUUGGUCAACUGUUUGCCGUUAAAAAAAUUCUAAUUCCAGUGAAAAUGAGAGAAUUCUUUGAAUCCUCGGAUUCUUCGGCCAGGGAUUUCUGGGCCCGCUUUGGUAUUUGAUAGCUGAUUUGCUGGCCACUCUACAACCAAAGAGUCUUGGGGUGUGCACGCCGAUACUGGCUGUCCCAAGAACUCGGCCGGCGUCUUGUUUCCAACCCAACAAUGGCCACGUGACAUAAAUGCUUAAACCUUG